GGCGGCCCAGUAUCAGGACCCGGUUAAGCUAAAAGCUCACCUGUGCCUUUCGUCCGGUUGAUUAACACACCUGAGGCCAGCUGAUUGGCCGAGGUGAGAACUUGCCCACUGGAGCUCUCAUCAUUCACAUACUAGCUGUGGCAGGACUGGCAAGCAGCAGAAGCUCCUUCAAGAGUUUUCCCGUUGAAUGCGGACUGGUGGUCUUGCUUUCCCACAUGGAGCUGUGGGAAGUCUUGAGAUUUGGGACAAAGGAGGCCUACAACUCUGCCUGGAUUACCUCAUGCCUUUGGUCCCUGAAGUGGCCCGUCCGUCUCUCUGGCCCCUCUUCAGGAACAAGUAAGGAAGGAAGGAGAUUACAACUCAUAAAAAACAAUGACUUAGUUCAGCUGGUAUUACAACCCAACCUCCUCACCAAACCGGCCGAUUGAGGAGGACAGAAGAAAAUCCGGAGGCUGAAACUAUUUCUCUAAUGCAAAGACGGGAUUCCCCACUUUCCUGAAUGUUAUAAUUGAAUGCAAAUAAAGAUAUAUUCUGCGUU
ensembl:lncRNA